CCUACGGGAGGCAGCAGUGAGGAAUAUUGGUCAAUGGACGAGAGUCUGAACCAGCCAAGUAGCGUGAAGGAUGACUGCCCUAUGGGUUGUAAACUUCUUUUAUAUGGGAAUAAAAUGUUCCACGUGUGGGAUUUUGUAUGUACCAUAUGAAUAAGGAUCGGCUAACUCCGUGCCAGCAGCCGCGGUAAUACGGAGUAUCCGAGCGUUAUCCGGAUUUAUUGGGUUUAAAGGGAGCGUAGGUGGAUUGUUAAGUCAGUUGUGAAAGUUUGCGGCUCAACCGUAAAAUUGCAGUUGAAACUGGCAGUCUUGAGUACAGUAGAGGUGGGCGGAAUUCGUGGUGUAGCGGUGAAAUGCUUAGAUAUCACGAAGAACGCCGAUUGCGAAGGCAGUUCACUGGACUGCAACUGACACUGAGGCUCGAAAGUGUGGGUAUCAAACAGGAUUAGAUACCCCUGUAGUC
rnacentral:rRNA from 1 species